rnacentral:rRNA from 1 species
GACGAACGCUGGCGGCGUGCUUAACACAUGCAAGUCGAGCGGUAAGGCCCUUUCGGGGGUACACGAGCGGCGAACGGGUGAGUAACACGUGGGUGACCUGCCCUUAGCUCUGGGAUAAGCCUGGGAAACUGGGUCUAAUACCGGAUAUGACUCCAUGACGCAUGUUGUGGGGUGGAAAGCCUUGUGCGGCUAGGGAUGGGCCUGCGGCCUAUCAGCUUGUUGGUGGGGUGAUGGCCUACCAAGGCGACGACGGGUAGCCGGCCUGAGAGGGCGACCGGCCACACU